UCGUCUGAGUGGAUUAACGUAGGAUGUGGCAGAGGUGCUGUUCCUGUCCCAGGGAGAAGAAACUUAUGAUGUGAAGAGGUGAGAUAGUCCCAUACAAGACUCAACGCCUCAGCAGCACAAAAAAACACCGACACCUUUCACCAGAGAGGAAUAACUCCAGAGCUCAGUGUAUUGUCUCAGCAGUGAAGCUUGAAGAUGAUCAGGACGAUCCUCUUGUACUCCUUCCUGAAGUUGUGGUUCAGGACACCGUAGACGACGGCGUUGAGGCAGCUGUUGAAGUACGCCAUGAAGUAGCUGGCUGUGAACAGCCACUCAGGUAUCGCCCGGGUUAGCCUGGAGUCCAGCGCCACGGCCAGGCCGAUCAGGUUCAGUGGCGCCCAGCAGACGGCGAAGAGUACGAACACCACGAACAUGGUGAGGAAGUUGCGGAGGUCGUGUGGUUUGAUCUUUGGCCGCGAGUCCGGCUUGACCCUUCGCCUCACCUGGAUGACAAGGAUCCAGAUACGCAGGUAACAGUAGGUGACGAUGCCGAUCGGCAGGAUGAAGUGCACCACCACCACCGUGAUGGUGUACAGCGAGCUGACCGACUGGGCGAAGGUGCAGGAGUACACCCGUGGGUCGUACUGCAGUGACUCCACAAACCAGUUGGGCACGAUGGCGAGGAUGGUGAGGGCCCAGACGAGCACGACGUAGCACAUGGUGUUGCUGUUGGAGAACACUUUGUCGUACUUAAGGCUGUGGCAGAUGUAGCAGUAGCGGUUGAUGGCGAUGCCGGUGAUGUUGAAGAUGGAGCCAAUGACGCUGAGGCCCAUGAGGAAGCCGCUGAUCUGACAGUGGAUGUAGCCGGCAAUCCAGCCGUCGUGGAAAAUGGCGGUCAGCACCAGCGGGUAUGGAUAGAUGGCGACCACCAAGUCAGCAAGAGCCAGGCUCACCACGAAGGCGUUUCCUGCAGACAUGAGGGGAUGCAGGUCAUGAGCAGUUAGAAUAUGAACAGAACAGAAAGGUGAGUAAACUAUUCUGUAUUUACUGUGUAAACAGCUUUCAAUAUCAAUAGGCCAUUGGCUGUGUAACUGUAGAGCAACAUGCCUCCGCUAGUCAGAAAGGAUUGGUGUUUUGUGGAUUGAAAAAUAAAUUUAUACCCUUAUUGAAGCAGUA